AAUCCAUGGUGUGGAAAUUUCCUCAUCAGUUCCUUGUAUCUCUCCCAAGCCUCAUACAAUGAAUCAAAUUCUUCUUGUAGAAACGAUGUAAUAUCAUUUCUCAUUUU